AGCACUUGUGUUUGUUUUUGUUUAAUUUGUGAGCAAAGACUACAUACAGGUGCAAAAAAGAAAAUCCUCUUUUGUAACCCAGAACUUGUUCAGUCUGAGUUUUGAUACAUAUAAGCAGGAACAUG